UGGGGAAUCUUGCACAAUGGGGGAAACCCUGAUGCAGCGACGCCGCGUGAGCGAUGAAGGUUUUCGAAUCGUAAAGCUCUGUCCUAUGGGAAGAUAAUGACGGUACCAUGGGAGGAAGCCCCGGCUAACUACGUGCCAGCAGCCGCGGUAAUACGUAGGGGGCGAGCGUUGUCCGGAAUUACUGGGCGUAAAGGGUUCGCAGGCGGCAUGGCAAGUCCGAUGUAAAAGGCGAAGGCUCAACCUUCGUAAGCAUCGGAAACUGUCAAGCUUGAGUGAAGGGGAGGCAAGUGGAAUUCCUAGUGUAGCGGUGAAAUGCGUAGAUAUUAGGAGGAAUACCGGUGGCGAAGGCGACUUGCUGGACUUCAACUGACGCUGAGGAACGAAAGCGUGGGUAGCAAACAGG
rnacentral:rRNA from 1 species